GAUGAACGCUGGCGGCGUGCUUAACACAUGCAAGUCGAACGAAGCACUUCAAUCGAUUUCUUCGGAAUGAAGUUUUAGUGACUGAGUGGCGGACGGGUGAGUAACGCGUGGGUAACCUGCCUCACACAGGGGGAUAACAGUUGGAAACGGCUGCUAAUACCGCAUAAGCGCACAGUACCGCAUGGUACAGUGUGAAAAACUCCGGUGGUGUGAGAUGGACCCGCGUCUGAUUAGCUAGUUGGCAGGGCAACGGCCUACCAAGGCGACGAUCAGUAGCCGACCUGAGAGGGUGACCGGCCACAUUGGGACUGAGACACGGCCCAAACUCCUACGGGAGGCAGCAGUGGGGAAUAUUGCACAAUGGGGGAAACCCUGAUGCAGCGACGCCGCGUGAGCGAAGAAGUAUUUCGGUAUGUAAAGCUCUAUCAGCAGGGAAGAAGAAAUGACG
rnacentral:rRNA from 1 species